UACGUAGGGUGCGAGCGUUGUCCGGAAUUAUUGGGCGUAAAGAGCUCGUAGGUGGUUUGCCGCGUUGUUCGUGAAAACUCACAGCUUAACUGUGGGCGUGCGGGCGAUACGGGCAGACUGGAGUACUGCAGGGGAGACUGGAAUUCCUGGUGUAGCGGUGGAAUGCGCAGAUAUCAGGAGGAACACCGGUGGCGAAGGCGGGUCUCUGGGCAGUAACUGACGCUGAGGAGCGAAAGCGUGGGGAGCGAACAGG
rnacentral:rRNA from 1 species